rnacentral:lncRNA from 1 species
AAAAAAAAAAAAAAAAAAAGAAGUCUGCGUGCAUCUGCGCAACGCAGACAUAAGUGCUCAGAAGAGCUUUUGGCCAAAAAACAAACACCACCUAACAAUUAGUAGUUUGUCCAUUUGCACAGUCUUAACGUAUGUCUCUGUACUCAUUUCGAGGAUUCUUCUGGAAGGCUGCUCGAAUAGGUGAGCGGUUGAGCCCAUGGGUAGCUGUUGGAUGUUUCACAAUGGGUGUCUCCAUUAUAUUUUUCUGA